AACGAACGCUGGCGGCAUGCCUAAUACAUGCAAGUCGAACGAGAUCUUCGGAUCUAGUGGCGCACGGGUGCGUAACGCGUGGGAAUCUGCCCUUGGGUUCGGAAUAACUUCUGGAAACGGAAGCUAAUACCGGAUGAUGACGUAAGUCCAAAGAUUUAUCGCCCAAGGAUGAGCCCGCGUAGGAUUAGCUAGUUGGUGGGGUAAAGGCUCACCAAGGCGACGAUCCUUAGCUGGUCUGAGAGGAUGAUCAGCCACACUGGGACUGAGACACGGCCCAGACUCCUACGGGAGGCAGCAGUAGGGAAUAUUGGACAAUGGGCGAAAGCCUGAUCCAGCAAUGCCGCGUGAGUGAUGAAGGCCUUAGGGUUGUAAAGCUCUUUUACCCGGGAUGAUAAUGACAGUACCGGGAGAAUAAGCUCCGGCUAACUCCGUGC
rnacentral:rRNA from 1 species